CCUAUUGGAGGAGGAAGACGGAUGGGGAGUCAGUGAGUAAUCAAUUAAAACCUCAAGGCACUUGAUAGUCAAAGGAAUAAUAUCCUUCAAGCUGAGUAGGUUAUAUGGAGGAAAAAGAGUAGGACAAUUUGGCUUAAGCACGGUGAUAAAAAUACUAAAUUUUUUCAUGUGAAAGCAGACCAAAGAAGAAAAACAAAUGCUAUCAAUAAGUUGAAAGAUGAUAAUGGUUGUAGGUGGAGAGGAGAAAACCAUUAUGAAAGAAUCCUUGUGAAUUAC
rnacentral:lncRNA from 1 species